UCAAAGGCCUGUGUGUGUUUGGAGCGGCUGCGUAGUGCUUCCUCUUCCUGUCUGGGGUCAGGGAAGCUUCAUUCGCGGUUGAAAGGCUGCUGAGAGUGGGAGCGCCAUGUCAGGCCGAGAAGGUGGAAAAAAGAAGCCCCUGAAGCAGCCGAAGAAGCAGUCGAAGGAAAUGGAUGAGGAAGAUGUUGCUUUCAAGCAAAAACAGAAGGAUGAACAGAAGAAACUGGAAGAGUUGAAAGCAAAAGCAGCUGGGAAGGGCCCACUCAGUGGAGGCGGGAUAAAGAAGUCCGGUAAGAAGUAGUAGCAGUCCUGAUGAAUGGCCUUGCGAGGGACAAGAGAAGCGCUUUCCUUCCCUCAGAGGCUUGGCAGUGAGGAAUAUUCCCAGGCUCAUGUCAUGUGAAACAUUGCUUUGAGCACCUUUGUACAUUUUGUUCAAACAAAAUAAAUGUUGCUGUUGUUUUUGUUUAAA